rnacentral:rRNA from 1 species
GACAGGGGAUGCAAGCGUUACUCGGAAUUACUGGGCGUAAAGCGUCUGCAGGCUUCUUUCCACGUCUGGUGUAAAAGCACGAAGCUCAACUCCGUGUACGUGCCGGAAACGAGAGAGAUCGAGUCAUUCAGAGGCAUCUGGAAUGUCGUGUGUAGGGGUAAAAUCCGUAGAUCCACGAUGGAACGCCAAAAGCGAAGGCAGGAUGCUGGGAAUGUACUGACGCUCAGAGACGAAAGCGUGGGGAGCAAAGGGG